rnacentral:lncRNA from 1 species
CGGCUAUGAGAUCUGAGCAAAACUUGAAUUCCAAUGGAAGACAAUUCUCAUGAUAGAUGGUGUGGGGAUAAAUUGGAUCCUUCCACACGGUUACAGAAAACACUUCAACCGAUGACCUGAAACAUCAUGGUGUGGUUAUAUUUAGAUCGAUCGCAACAUGCUGCUGACAAGAAGUUGGCGAUGACAAUGGCUAUUCGAUCGUCAGCCCAUCUAGAAUUGCUUUGAAUGUACCAAAACGGUCUUCGUCUGGACUCCGAAGGCAGUGAGGUAGAAUGGAACAGCAUCAGAGGGAGAGAAGCAAGGCGUGAUGAACGCCGGCGUGGAGAUGAUCCGCCGUCACUGGGGCUGACCGCUACCCCUUGUGGACUCUGAAUGAAUCGCUGAUGAACCUAAAUUUCUCUGCUAUUACAG